UUUCCUUUCAAACAGGCUGCACUUAUCAUCUGAGAACCUUCGGAGCUCUCUGAGAAAGCUGCAAGUCACCAAGUUCGACCAACUCAACCCAAGACAAGUUAAACAAGGAAAAAGUAUACAAUCCUUCGCCCAUUUCUCAAAAAUUGCCAGCCACGAUGUCAGACUCAAUUCCUGCGCAAUUUAGAUAAAGGAAAGCAAGUAUGCAGCCUAUUCACUAUCUUUGAAACAGGGUGCAUGUUGGAUGUGUCUACUCAGCAUUAUGCGGCCUUAAAUACAGUUCCAAUCAAAAGGUUUGUGCUAAAUUGAUACUCCAAUAAUAUCUACUUCACCUAUUACUGAACAGCGAAGCGAGUAAUAUGAUUCUAAAAAAAGGUUCCUAACUGUUCAUAUUGUGGCACACAAAAAUUUGAAUACAAAAGAAGAAUCUAAACAUUUCGAACAUAUAUUAGAACAUACAAUAAUAUGUUGAACACAUCGCUUGGUGUGAAGUACGAUAAAAAAAUUGGUGAAAAGAAAUUGUGGUAUGUACAGAUUUAGAGAACAGGGACUCAUGUAUCAUUUCAUAGAUGAUUUAGUCGCUUCCAACGAAAAACCCAACAACUUACAAUUAUACUUUUCUGAUCAUGAGAAUGAAUUGGCUAGCAGAAUGGCCAAAAACCCCCAAACUAUUAGAGGCAAGGCUAAUGACAAAAAGGGUCUUAAGAAGUCAUGGUACUUACUCCCUCUGUUUCAUCUUUGAUUUACUUAAACUAAUACUCAUUAUUAUAUAGUUAAAGUUUAAAGUUACAAUUUAUGAGUGCAGUAAUUUUAAUAGCAUCAAUUGUUGAGCUUUUUACUGGUAAAACAAAAUACAUACUAAAAUACUUUAGCAGUACAAAAAGAAAUAUCUAUUCAUAAUAUCUUGAGAUUGUUUCCUAUUAAGCUAUUCAAAGAAGGAAACAGUGUGAUUGACUUGUCUUUUUGUUUACCUAUUUUGAUUAAAAUAAAGAUAUU